ensembl:lncRNA LINC01515 long intergenic non-protein coding RNA 1515
ACGGCUGGGUAGGAAGCACGCUAGCAGGGGCCUCUGGCCUUGCUGAGGGUCCCUGUUUCCCCUUUUCCUUCCUUUUCACCCAACAAAACCCUGCUUUACUCACCCUUCAAACCAUCUAUGAGCCUAAAUUGUCGUGGUCGUGGAAUGGACAAGGACCCAGUCUUUAGCUGAACUAAGGGAAAGUCCUGCUUUUUGGCGCGCAACAGGGGAGCUCAAGAAACAGGCCUCACUCACGGCAUAUGGAACUAACCACGCCCCUAACUAAGAAGGCACACCUUAGUUGCAGUUAGCACACAAUUAAAGCAACUCUCCAAGUUUUACCUUAAAGUUCAAAAUUGCUAGGAGUUGAAACUACUAGAAAUAUAUUUACAUGCAAGAGUCAAAGAAACUUUGAACUAUUUAUGGCCUUUAAUAAUUAAGUAAGGUAUACUCCUGUGAUCAAGACUUGGAGCAUAUUUGUUUCUCUCUGCCUGGUUCCUCUAGAAAUUGGAAACUAUCAGAACAGAGACCAACUCCGUUUCCCGAUCCCUUUGCAAUCUGCAUUGAACCAUGAGUCAAGUUCUUGAUAAAGGAGUGAAAAUGGAUGACAUUUAAGGCACAUCUGAAGAUGGGGAAACCACAGCACAGAAUAAGGCUGGGCCCUUGAAUCAAUAAAUGAAGGAGAACUACUCAAGAGAACAAAACCACCAGCAAUAUCCACCUGUAUUUGUCUUUUCAUAAUGUGUGACACAUGUGCUCAUGGAUUAUUGUCCGAAGCAAGACAUGUGACCAAGCCUAACAUCAACUGGGUGAAGAGCUAUAUGUUCCUUUCUCAAGAGGCACUACAAGUGACAUGCCACUGGGCAGAUGGAGUCUCGCUCUGUCACCCAGGCUAGAGUGCAGUACCGCAAUCUCGGCUCGCUGCAAGCUCUGACUCCCAGGUUCACACCAUUCUCCUGCCUCAGCCUCCCAAGUAGCUGGCACUACAGGCGCCCACCACCAUGCCUGGCUAAUUUUUUAUAUUUUUAGUAGAGAAGGGGUUUCGCCGUGUUAGCCAGAAUGGUCUUGAUCUCCUGACCUCAUGAUCUGCCCACCUCGGCCUCCCAAAGUGCUGGGAUUACAGGCGUGAGCCACCGCGACUGGCCUAACAUAUUUUUAAAACCUGCAGAAUGUUUGUAUUACUUUUGUCAUAGUACAUAACAUUUAAAUGGAUUUCUUGUUUGUGUAUGUGUGUAUAUUCAUUCACAACACUGAUAGUUUUUCUGAAUAUUUCCUUUGGAUUUUAUUCUUUUCUCAUUCAACUAAAUAAGAACCUGCACCAUCUUUUUCUAGUGUAAAAAUUACAAUAUCUGAAGUGAAACUACUAGAAUAAAUCUUGUGACAAUUCUUAAGGAUUAUCUUUUAGUUGGUAUGGUUUCCAAAAAAGAUUGUACUAAGUUUUACUCCCAGUGGAAAUAUUUAAAGGCAAUACUUCCAUUUCUUUUUUACAGAAUAGAAUCCAAUUAUUCUUUUUCAUCCCAUUGUUGUAUACAGACUUUAUUUCAUUUACUUGUAGAUCAAAGGUUUUUUGGUUUCCUAUCUUUUGGACACUGUUUUGGGUACUAGAGAGAGCAUGAGUAGCUAAGUUUCUGAAAUUUACAGUGAAUGGAAAAAGAUAGGCAUAAAUGAAACAAUCACAAAAAUAAAUGUAACAGCUACAGUUACAGUUGUAAAACUGUGGUCAGUGCUAUGGAGGAGUGUACAAGGUGAUAUGAGAGAUCAUAAUAGGGAAGUUAAAUCUCUGGUUCAUGUAAAACUGCCAUGGACACACUCUCAGUGAACUUAGAGCUAAAAGAGGAGUAAUAGCCAUUAGACACAAAAAAGCAGAUAGAAAAUGUUCUGGGAAGAAUAAUGUCUAUAAAGGAUCUGGGGUAGGAGAGAGCAUUGUUCUUUGGUGAUAUGAGAUUGGAGGGAUAGGUGAAUAUAAAACAUAAGCAUAAAAACUAGAUAGUAUUUAAAUCCUUUCCUUGGAUCUUAAUGAGAAGCACUAAAGAGAUUUAAAUAGAGAAUGACAACAUGUAAUUUGGCUUUUAAACAAAGUUAUGUUUUUUAAUGCAGAAAAUAAAUUGGAAUGAAGCCCAUGUGAAUGCAUGGAGACAAGGUGAAAAGGUAGAUGAGAAAAAAGUUGGAAAUAUUUGCAGGUACAUUUGACAGGACCAGGAGAUGUCUUGGGCAUUCAUGAUGAUGGAAGAGUGGUCAAUAAUGACUCUAUUUUCUAGCUUGUAUCAUGAGAUGAAUGGAGACCCGUAGAAGAAUAAGUUUUGUGAGUGACUGGGUCAUGUAAUAUAUUUUGGAUUUGUUAAAUGUGAACUACUUUUAAGAAACUGUGGGGAAAAACUUCGUUUUGUUUACAUCCAUGAAUCAUUUGAAGCACGAAAAAUAAUUCUCAGCUGAAGAUACAAAUAUGAGGGCCCUGGGUGUAUAACUGAAGGCACGAGUAUAAAUGGGAUUAUUUAGGGAGGGCUUAAAAGUGGAUAGAGAGUAAAUUCACAGACUAUAGGUACAAAAUAAUCACCAAUGACAAUAUAUUAUGCAGCUUAAGACCAAUUGUAUGUAUUUUCCUGACAAUGUCUUUUAGAGCCUGUGACUAGUUUUCUCCU